UAGUGUUGUAGGGGAAACUGAGCCAACAGUAACCAGGAGCUCAGGAGAAGAAAGGAAAUUUAGUGAUCUCCAGGGGAGUCAUCCUCAAAGUCUGAGGGGGUGAUUGCAUAGAGCUUGUCUUUUCUAUAGAGUGGCAAACACAGGUUGCAGGGGACAGUUGCAAGCUUUUAGCUGAAGGUUGUGGUACAAUGGCUAUCUUGUGGUGAACAUAGUUGUGUGUAGCAAAGUUGUCACCACGUUCCCAGGGCUUUCAGUUGGAUGAAAUCAUAUGAUUUAGCUGAGUUCCGUGGCUGAGAACAGAAUGGCUUUACCUUUGCUUAACAAAGUGUCUACAGUUUGAUCAGGCUUUCUGCUUUCAUGGUAGGUGUUUUCCAUGAUCCUUCCUUUAAGUGGGUUGUUUCAGGGCUGGAUAUUGCCCUUUCCCUUGAGGAUUGGUCAGAUGGUCUCAAUUUUCUAUAUGUACUAUUGCUUAGUUUUGGAUAGUGCCCUGGACAGUUUGCUGGUUGAUUUAGGAGACUCUGGUUCCUAUCCUCAGGCAAGCAAUGGUUUCUCUUGUUCUGUUGUUCUGCAAAGCUGUCAAGGCAGCAGGAUCAGACCGCAUCCUGCAUUUGCUUUGCAGUGUCCAGGUUGUGCUCAGGCCACAGUGCCCCACCCCCAGCCCCGGUGGUCUACUGGAUGCCUGGUGGUUGAUAGCUCAGUCGCUUUCCAAAGCCUUUGCCUUGCUUCUUUGGAACUAUUCUGUGCAAGCCGCUCAGUGUGAGUCUAGACCUUGUGCUGGCUCUUACACAGACUUCAGUGAUUUCUUUCUGCAGCUCUCUCCUCUUUAAAAUGCCAUUUACAUUUUCCUGCCACAAGAAGAGAACUUCCCCAGGGCAGGUCAACCCUCAGGCCAUCAGCAACAGGAAUAGAGUACAAACAUAGUGGCAAUUUUCCUCAUUCUCUUCAUACAGCAGAAGUCACUGCCUGUUCCUUUGUGGGCACAGGUCAUCUGUUGGGGCUUUAGGUCCCUCUGCCUCUCUUGAGACUGCUGGACAACUUUGCAACCGUGUUGCUGUGAACAUGGGAGCGCAGAUGGUUUCACUCCUGGUUUCUGUUGUUUUGCAGAAGAACCCAGAAAGGUGUUUCAUUCCUUGACUUAAAGAAACUGAACAGUAGAAGAAAGAACACUGGGUGGCAGAUGGGGCCACAAUGAAGUACAGGAGGAGGUGUCCCUGCGAGGUCAGCAUCAGCCCCAGAUCACCCUACGGGCCGCUCUUGAAAGAAUGAACUCUAAGACACAAGAAAGGUGAUGUGAAACAUUGUCUGACAAUCAGUGAAAACAGUGGUGUGGAUUCUUGGGUAAGUGCAUUUUGAAGUUUCUAGAGGAAAUAAAAACUACAUUUUCGAUUUCAAUCAGUUAGAAUGCUCUUGAAUUUCUUUAAAAAAUUCAUUUAAAAUGGGGACCAUUUUGCCAUAUUUCUGUCUAUGUACUAGAGUUAGUCAUAUACA